ACGAACGCUGGCGGCGUGCUUAACACCUGCAAGUCGUACGAAAAGAGGGAAAGAGCUUGCUCUUUCCGGAAUUGAGUGGCAAACGGGUGAGUAACACGUAAACAACCUGCCUUCAGGAUGGGGACAACAGACGGAAACGACUGCUAAUACCGAAUAAGUUCCAAGGGCCGCAUGGCCCAUGGAAGAAAAGGUGGCCUCUACCUGUAAGCUAUCGCCUGAAGAGGGGUUUGCGUCUGAUUAGCUGGUUGGAGGGGUAACGGCCCACCAAGGCGACGAUCAGUAGCCGGUCUGAGAGGAUGAACGGCCACACUGGAACUGAGACACGGUCCAGACUCCUACGGGAGGCAGCAGUGGGGAAUCUUCCGCAAUGGGGGAAAGCCUGACGGAGCAACGCCGCGUGAGUGAUGACGGCCUUCGGGUUGUAAAACUCUGUGAUCCGGGACGAAAAGGCAGAGUGCGAAGAACAAACUGCAUUGACGGUACCGGAAAAGCAAGCCACGGCUAACUACGUG
rnacentral:rRNA from 1 species